GAAGCCGCGACCGCCGCCUCAGCCGCCUCAGCCGCGGUCGCCGCCGCUUCGGCUGACUUAGGCUCCGCCGCCGCCUCCUCACCCGCCUCGCCCCGACCCCGCCCGGGCCUCCCGGCCUCUCCCCGCCGGCCCGCGGGCUCGCCGUCCGGCGCAGGGCAGCACAUUGGAGAUAUAUUUCCACAGCAUCUGGCUUUUCUUGUUCCUGUUCUGAAGUAAAUGUAACUGCUAUCCUCUGGAGGUAAUCUAUUGCCAUAAAGGAUUUUCCAAUUAUCCUUAGGUUUCUGUGGUUUCACUAAGUUCCAUGCAUCCCUGCCUGAG
rnacentral:lncRNA from 10 species